UACAGAGGGUGCAAGCGUUGCUCGGAAUCAUUGGGCGUAAAGGGUAGGUAGGUGGUCUCAUUUGUCUGGGGUGAAAGCCUUGAGCUUAACUCAAGAAGUGCCCCAGAAACGGUGAGACUGGAGUCCUGGAGAGGGUCGUGGAAUUCCCGGUGUAGCGGUGAAAUGCGUAGAGAUCGGGAGGAACACCAGAGGCGAAGGCGGCGACCUGGACAGGUACUGACACUCAACUACGAAAGCGUGGGGAGCAAACAGG
rnacentral:rRNA from 1 species